rnacentral:SRP_RNA from 1 species
GCUGGGCGUGGUGGCGCAUGCUUGUAAUCCCAGCUACUUGGGAGGCUGAGACAUGAGAAUCGCUUGAAUCCGGGAGGCAGAGGUUGCAGUGAGCCACAAUCGCACCACUGCACUCCAGCCUGGGUGACAGAGCGAGACUCUGUCUCAA